GAUGAACGCUAGCGGCAGGCCUAACACAUGCAAGUCGAGGGGUAUAGGGAGCUUGCUUCCUAGAGACCGGCGCACGGGUGCGUAACGCGUAUGCAAUCUACCUUGUACAGGGGAAUAGCCCAGAGAAAUUUGGAUUAAUGCCCCAUAGUAUUAUUAAAUGGCAUCCUUUAAUAAUUAAAGUUCCAACGGUACAAGAUGAGCAUGCGUCCUAUUAGUUAGUUGGUGUGGUAACGGCAUACCAAGACGAUGAUAGGUAGGGGUCCUGAGAGGGAGAUCCCCCACACUGGUACUGAGACACGGACCAGACUCCUACGGGAGGCAGCAGUGAGGAAUAUUGGACAAUGGGCGCAAGCCUGAUCCAGCCAUGCCGCGUGCAGGAAGACGGUCCUAUGGAUUGUAAACUGCUUUUAUACAGGAAGAAACACUGGUUCGUGAACCAGCUUGACGGUACUGUAAGAAUAAGGAUCGGCUAACUCCGUGCCAGCAGCCGC
rnacentral:rRNA from 1 species